UGUAUCACUGAUGAUAAUUUGGCUCCCUCUACUGAAUACUGUGAGGAGAUUGCCACUGUUACCCAUUUUUUUUGUCUGAGAUACA
rnacentral:snoRNA from 1 species